AUUUUUCAAUCAAGGCAGUGUCUAGAAAUCUUUAUCUAAAAACAGAUUAUUGGCUUUCUCUUGAUUAUCAUUGUUUUCCACAGUUUAGAAAAUGUUAAAGCAUGAAACUCAGUUGCUUAAGUGAUUGGGCAGGAAGAUGGAAAUAAAAGCUGUUUUGAAAAUGGUAUCUUCUUUCUUUCCUAGCCUUAAAACCAUAUAUACUAUUAUACAAGGGACUGGAGAAUUACAUAUUUUUUAUAUAUGAUUUAAGGUCCUGUAAGUGCGUAUUAUGCUAAAAGGACUGCUUUCCAAGAGCUUGGGCUACAAAACAACUUUAAUUGAAAUACAUUUUUGACAGAAGUUACCACUAUGCAUCUCAUCUGGCAUUAAAUUAUGCUGCCUGCACUGUCAGCUACUAAUGCUAACUGGUAGGAUAAAAGUUAUGUUAGUUUUUGUUCCCUGUUUCAUGUAGAUGACCUCAGAAGGGCUGAUAUUCACUUGCCCUAGGCAUUACUUUGUUUAAAAAAAAAAA